GAUGAACGCUAGCGGCAGGCUUAACACAUGCAAGUCGAGGGGCAGCGGGUUUGUAGCAAUACAGAUGCCGGCGACCGGCGCAAGGGUGCGUAACGCGUGAGCGACAUGCCCGUCUCAGGGGGAUAAUCCGGAGAAAUCCGGUCUAAUACCCCAUGGUCCCGUUGGGAUGCAUGUCCUGAUGGGUAAAGAUACGUCGGAGACGGAUUGGCUCGCGUGACAUUAGCUGGACGGCGGGGUAACGGCCCACCGUGGCUACGAUGUCUAGGGGAACUGAGAGGUUGGUCCCCCACACUGGAACUGAGACACGGUCCAGACUCCUACGGGAGGCAGCAGUGAGGAAUAUUGGACAAUGGGCGGAAGCCUGAUCCAGCCAUGCCGCGUGAAGGAUUACGGUCCUAUGGAUUUUAAACUUCUUUUGCACGGGAGCAAUAARGGUCACGCGUGGCCCGAUGAGAGUACCGUGCGAAUAAGCAUCGGCUAACUCCGUGCCAGCAGCCGCGGUAAUACGGAGGAUGCGAGCGUUAUCCGGAUUCAUUGGGUUUAAAGGGUGCGUAGGCGGUGGCGUAAGUCAGCGGUGAAAUUCACGGGCUCAACCCGUGCCGUGCCGUUGAUACUGCGUUGCUGGAGUACUGUCGCCGUGGGAGGAAUGUGUGGUGUAGCGGUGAAAUGCAUAGAUAUCACACAGAACACCGAUUGCGAAGGCAUCUCACGAGGCAGGGACUGACGCUGAUGCACGAAAGUGCGGGGAUCAAACAGGAUUAGAUACCCUGGUAGUCCGCACAGUAAACGAUGAUGACUAGCUGUCGGCGAUAGACAGUCGGUGGCUAAGCGAAAGCGAUAAGUCAUCCACCUGGGGAGUACGACCGCAAGGUUGAAACUCAAAGGAAUUGACGGGGGCCCGCACAAGCGGAGGAACAUGUGGUUUAAUUCGAUGAUACGCGAGGAACCUUACCCGGGCUCGAACGGUGCAGGAAGCCUUCAGAGAUGGAGGCGCUCUUCGGAGCCUGUAUCGAGGUGCUGCAUGGUUGUCGUCAGCUCGUGCCGUGAGGUGUCGGCUUAAGUGCCAUAACGAGCGCACCCCUUGCUGACAGUUGCCAUCAGGUAAAGCUGGGGACUCUGUCGGACUGCCACCGUAAGGUGUGAGGAAGGGGGGGAUGACGUCAAAUCAGCACGGCCCUUAUGUCCGGGGCGACACACGUGUUACAAUGGUGGGUACAGCGGGAAGCUACGCGGCGACGCGGUGCAAAUCUCGAAAACCCAUCCCAGUUCGGAUCGGAGUCUGCAACCCGACUCCGUGAAGUUGGAUUCGCUAGUAAUCGCAGAUCAGCAUGCUGCGGUGAAUACGUUCCCGGGCCUUGUACACACCGCCCGUCACACCACGAAAGUUGGUAACACCCGAAGCCGGUGAGGUAACCUUUCAGGAGCCAGCCGUCUAAGGUGGGGCCGAUGAUUGGGGUGAAGU
rnacentral:rRNA from 1 species